rnacentral:lncRNA from 1 species
UUACACUUACCCUUUCACUUUCUGACAACCCAAACAACCUAUAUCUAAACAAUAUAUCCCUUUAGCAGAGCACUUGGAUAAUGCUUCACUUGAGAUGAAGUAAAACUUUAGUCAGUAAAAUAAUCAAAAUGAUAAAUGAUUAAAAUAAAAAAUAAAAAAUUAAAUUGAAAAAAGUCUUGAUUUCCUUCUUCUACCUUUUGGGAAGGGCUUAGUGUUUCUAAUGGCCCCUAGAUCUCAAUCUUCCUCAAAACAGCCAUGGCCAGUACCUGGAUUUGAUUAUCUCUACCAUUGAUAGCACUAACAGGGACGUCGUCGCCCCAGACCUCAAGUUUCAUUAUCAACAUCGUCGCAAAGCAACAAAUGACACUCUUAAUGAACGACACAACAAUGUAAACAACACACUCAGGGAUUGUUACAAGCGACCGACGAUGAUGAGGAUGAUGGUCAAGAGUAGUCGUACCGCGGCGAUGAGAAAGGAGCAUGACAGAGAGUCUUGCAGCAACAAAGGUGAAAUUUGAGAUUUGCAGUAGCUGAAAGACGAGAGUUGCACUAGUGGAAAGAUAAGACUUGUAGGAGUAAUUUGGAUUGCUGGGUUGUUGAUGCUGUUAGGGAUUAUGCUGUGAGGUUUUCUAAC